rfam:Otolemur garnettii contig129164, whole genome shotgun sequence.
GAAUGUGAGGGCGAUCCGGCUGCAGCAUCUGUCACCCCACUGACUGCCAGGGUUGAUUUGGCUGAUCUGGCUAUCUAGGCGGUUGUCCCCUUCCUCCCUCACUGUUCCAUGUGUGUCCCUCACAAGCUGUGUGCUCAAAGAGGAUGACCUUCCCCAAGAGAGGGGGACUGUUCUUUGGUCACCGGUACACAAGUACCUGUGCUCUCCUGCUAGGACCUCCAAACAAGCUCUCAAAUAUUUUUUCUGUUCCCCUAUCUUCAGUUCAUUUCAUUAUUUUAUUUUAUUUUUCUUGGUGUUUUAUUUUGGAUAGUCUCUAUAUUU